rnacentral:rRNA from 1 species
UAGCCUACCAGGGCGGAUGAUCUAAAGCUGAUCUGAGAGGAUGAUCAGCCACACUGGAACUGAGAUACGGUCCAGACUCCUACGGGAGGCAGCAGUGGGGAAUAUUGGACAAUGGGCGAAAGCCUGAUCCAGCCAUGCCGCAUGAGUGAAGAAGGCCUUUGGGUUGUAAAGCUCUUUUAGUGAGGAAGAUAAUGACGGUACUCACAGAAGAAGUCCUGGCUAACUCCGUGCCAGCAGCCGCGGUAAUACGGAGAGGGCUAGCGUUAUUCGGAAUUAUUGGGCGUAAAGGGCGCGUAGGCUGAUUAAUAAGUUAAAAGUGAAAUCCCGAGGCUUAACCUUGGAAUUGCUUUUAAAACUAUUAAUCUAGAGAUUGAAAGAGGAUAGAGGAAUUCCUGAUGUAGAGGUAAAAUUCGUAAAUAUUAGGAGGAACACCAGUGGCGAAGGCGUCUAUCUGGUUCAAAUCGUGACGCUGAAGCGCGAAGGCGUGGGGAGCAAACAGGAUUAGAUACCCUGGUAGGCCACGCUGUAAACGAUGAAUGUUAAAUAUGGGAAGUUUCCUUUCUGUAUUACAGCU